rnacentral:rRNA from 1 species
AGAGAGAGACAUGCGCGCAUAUCAAUAAGCGGAGGAAAAGAAACUAACAAGGAUUCCCUUAGUAACGGCGAGUGAAGCGGGAAGAGCUCAAAUUUGAAAUCUUCAAGGUUUUACCUUGACGAAUUGUAGUUUAAAGAAGUGUUUUCCUGCUGAAGUUUUGGUAAAAGUUCUUUGGAAUAGGACAUCAUAGAGGGUGAGAAUCCCGUAUUUGACCAUUAUUUUCAGCUUUGUGAUACACUUUCAAAGAGUCGGAUUGUUUGGGAAUGCAGUCCAAAAUGGGUGGUAAAUUUCAUCUAAAGCUAAAUAUUGGCGAGAGACCGAUAGCGAACAAGUACCGUGAGGGAAAGAUGAAAAGAACUUUGAAAAGAGAGUUAAACAGUACGUGAAAUUGUCAAAAGGGAAGCGUUUGACACCAGUGUUGUUUUCUCGAAAAUCAAUUAAAAAUGGCUCGAUUUUGUAUUGCUGAGACCUUAAAAGCUCACUGUACAUUUUUCGUGUCUUUUUUAAUGCACUUUUCGUUUAACAAGUCAACAUCAGUUUCUUUUGUUGUAAAAGGGUCAUUGGAAGGUGGCUUUCUUUUCGGAGAAAGUGUUUAUAGCCUUUGGCCUCUGCAAUCGGAGAGACUGAGGUCUGCAGCGUAGACUCUUCGGGGUUAGAUACAUUCGUGCUAAGUUAUAGCUUUUCAUAGACAACUUGUUGACUAUGAAUUAGUCAUUGUAGCUUACUCGCUUAUGCUAUUUUACCUACGCUUAGGAUGUUGAGUCGUAGAGCACGCAG